rnacentral:lncRNA from 1 species
AAAUUUUGCUUAACAACAUGUAUUAUCUCAUAUAAUUUCAGGAAUUUGGGAGCUGUAUAGCUCUGGUUGUGACUUGGAGCUUCCCAAAAGGUCAUACUGCGGUCAUGUGAAGACUUGACUCUGGCUGGAGGACCCCCUUCUAAGGAGGAUCCCACAUGCCUGCUGGGUUGGUGCUGCUUGUUGGCUGGAGGCCUCUGUUGUUUGCCACAUGGAUCUCUCCGUAGGGCUCCUUGGGUGUCCUCACAACAUGGUGACUGACUUCCCCCAGAGCGCAUGGUCCAAGAGGAAGCAAAGCAGAAGCUGUAAUGUUUUUUGUUUGGAGGUACUACUGCUAUCCCAUUUAUACUGGCUGGGAAACAGCGCGGUAAGUGACGAGCCCAGGAUCGCCCAGCAAGUUCACGGCAGAGAUGAGAGCUGAAGCCAGGGAGUCCCAGCGUCUCGGCAGCACAAUCCUGCCUCUCACCAGGGCAAGUGUUAAUGGAGAGGGACUAGGAUGGGGAAGGGUGGAGCAAGAAUUUUACUUUUAUACUCUUGAGUAUUGAAA